rnacentral:rRNA from 2 species
UCAAUAAGCGGAGGAAAAGAAACCAACAGGGAUUGCCCUACUAACGGCGAGUGAAGCGGCAACAGCUCAAAUUUGAAAUCUGGCUUCGGCCCGAGUUGUAAUUUGCAGAGGAAGCUUUAGGCGCGGCACCAACUGAGUCCCCUGGAACGGGGCGCCACAGAGGGUGAGAGCCCCGUAUAGUUGGACGCUAAGCCUGUGUAAAGCUCCUUCGACGAGUCGAGUAGUUUGGGAAUGCUGCUCAAAAUGGGAGGUAAAUUUCUUCUAAAGCUAAAUACCGGCCAGAGACCGAUAGCGCACAAGUAGAGUGAUCGAAAGAUGAAAAGCACUUUGAAAAGAGGGUUAAAUAGCACGUGAAAUUGUUGAAAGGGAAGCGCUUGUGACCAGACUUGCGCCCGGCUGAUCAUCCGGUGUUCUCACCGGUGCACUCUGCCGGGCUCAGGCCAGCAUCGGUUCUCGCGGGGGGAUAAAGGCCCUGGGAACGUAGCUCCUCCGGGAGUGUUAUAGCCCAGGGUGUAAUGCCCUCGCGGGGACCGAGGUUCGCGCAUCUGCAAGGAUGCUGGCGUAAUGGUCACCAGCGACCCGUCUUGAAACACGGACCAAGGAGUCAAGGUUUUGCGCGAGUGUUUGGGUGUAAAACCCGCACGCGUAAUGAAAGUGAACGUAGGUGAGAGCUUCGGCGCAUCAUCGACCGAUCCUGAUGUUUUCGGAUGGAUUUGAGUAGGAGCGUUAAGCCUUGGACCCGAAAGAUGGUGAACUAUGCUUGGAUAGGGUGAAGCCAGAGGAAACUCUGGUGGAGGCUCGCAGCGGUUCUGACGUGCAAAUCGAUCGUCAAAUCUGAGCAUGGGGGCGAAAGACUAAUCGAACCAUCUAGUAGCUGGUUACCGCCGAAGUUUCCCUCAGGAUAGCAGUGUUGUUCUUCAGUUUUAUGAGGUAAAGCGAAUGAUUAGGGACUCGGGGGCGCUUUUUAGCCUUCAUCCAUUCUCAAACUUUAAAUAUGUAAGAAGCCCUUGUUACUUAAUUGAACGUGGGCAUUCGAAUGUUCCAACACUAGUGGGCCAUUUUUGGUAAGCAAAACUGGCGAAGCGGGAUGAACCGAACGCCGGGUUAAGGUGCCGGAAUGGACCCUCCUCAAACACCACAAAA